rnacentral:rRNA from 1 species
AUUGAACGCUGGCGGCAUGCCUUACACAUGCAAGUCGAACGGCAGCACGGGUGCUUGCACCUGGUGGCGAGUGGCGAACGGGUGAGUAAUACAUCGGAACGUACCUUAUCGUGGGGGAUAACGCAGCGAAAGUUGCGCUAAUACCGCAUACGCCCUGAGGGGGAAAGCGGGGGACCGUAAGGCCUCGCGCGAUUAGAGCGGCCGAUGUCUGAUUAGCUUGUUGGUGAGGUAAAAGCUCACCAAGGCGAUGAGCAGUAGCUGGGCUGAGAGGACGAUCAGCCACACUGGGACUGAGACACGGCCCAGACUCCUGCGGGAGGCAGCAGUGGGGAAUUUUGGACAAUGGGGGCAACCCUGAUCCAGCAAUGCCGCGUGAGUGAAGAAGGCCUUCGGGUUGUAAAGCUCUUUUGUCAGGGAAGAAACAGCAGCUCUAACACAGUCUGCGAAUGACGGUACCUGAAGAAUAAGCACCGGCUAACUACGUGCCAGCAGCCGCCGUAA